AUUGAACGCUGGCGGCAGGCCUAACACAUGCAAGUCGAAUGGUAACAGGAAACGGCUGGCUGUUUCGCUGACGAGGGGCGGACGGGAGAGUAAUGUCGGGGAAACUGCCUGAUGGAGGGGAUAACUUACGGAAACCGGAGCUAAUAACGGAUAAUCUUUUCAAGCCCAAGGAGGGGUACUUAAGGGCGGUUUUCCUGUAACUUUUCCAUGGAUCCCUAACGUAUUAGCUAGGUGGUGAGGUAACGGCUUACCCAGGCAACGAUGCGUAGGCGAGCUGAAAGGAUGAUCGGCCACACUGGAACUGAGACACGGUCCAGACUCCUACGGGAGGCAGCAGUAGGGAAUCUUGCACAAUGGGCGAAAGCCUGAUGCAGCAACGCCGCGUGUAUGAAGAAGGUCUUCGGGUCGUAAAGCUCUUUCAGCAGGGAGGAAGGGAGUAAAGUUAAUACCUUCGCGCAUUGACGUUACCCGAACAAGAAGCCACGGCUAACUACGUG
rnacentral:rRNA from 1 species